AUGUGUGGAGCUAACAAAUUAUCGGCGGAGCCAAGCUCUCUGCAGAUAAUUGCAUGGGGCUGUGCUCGGCAUCUGAUGGCAGCCUCCGGACCCCGCUGCCAGCCGCCAGCUCGGAGGUGCUCCGGGCACCACGGCACUCGUGGGCAGCAACUCCAACACCUCCAUGUGCUCCUUUUCCUCCUCAACCACAGAGGUUUCCAUGGGUGCAGGAUCAGGAUCCUGCUGUGCUGGGAGCUGCCAGCUGAUCCGAGAGGAGAAGAGCUGCUGUGGUCCAAGAAGUGGUGGCCCCAUCCUCUCUGUGACCGUUCAGAAGAUGUGAAUUUCUACCUGUUGCUCUGAAUGGAUUCAGUGAAAGGAAGCUUUGGGAUGGCAACGCUGAAAUUCUGAGCCCUGCAAGAAGAGCAGACGUAAUGGUAGAGAAAUGUACGUGUCUUACAAAACAGAAAAAUUAGGCAUCAUUAAGAGCAGCAAGCUUCCCUCUUUGCAAUGUAAUGAUGCAAAGCAGUCUCCAUAGCACAGCUUUCCCUCCAACACAGCAGGGCGAAGCAGAGUCCUGCUCUGGCUCUGAAGUCAUGGGGGGGAGGAGGAAUUUUUCCAUUGAUACUUUUUCCUGCAGAAGAGAGGGGCUUUAAUUAAAUAAACGGGCUGAUGAAAUGCGUCUUUGUCCCUCA
rnacentral:lncRNA from 1 species